ACAAGUGAAUAAGUGCACAUGGUGGAUGCCUUGGUCGAUUACAGGCGAUGAAGGACGUAGUAGCUUGCGAUAAGCUGCGGGGAGCUAGCAAACAAGCUUUGAUCCGCAGAUUUCCGAAUGGGGAAACCCGGCCUUUUAGGUCAUUGCAUACUGAAUACAUAGGUAUGCAAAGCGAACGCGGCGAACUGAAACAUCUAAGUAGCUGCAGGAAAAGAAAUCAACCGAGAUUCCCAAAGUAGUGGCGAGCGAAAUGGGAAGAGCCUGCACGUUUUAGCAUGACGCAUAGAAGAAUCCUCUGGAAAUAGGAGCCAUAGCGGGUGAUAGCCCCGUAUUCGAAAUGCGAUGUGUGGAACUAAGCGUGCGACAAGUAGGGCGGGACACGAGAAAUCCUGUCUGAAUAUGGGGGGACCAUCCUCCAAGGCUAAAUACUCGUAAUCGACCGAUAGUGAACCAGUACCGUGAGGGAAAGGCGAAAAGAACCCCGGGAGGGGAGUGAAAUAGAUCCUGAAACCGUGUGCAUACAAACAGUAGGAGCGGACUUGUUCCGUGACUGCGUACCUUUUGUAUAAUGGGUCAGCGACUUACAUUCAGUGGCAAGGUUAACCAGAUAGGGAAGCCGUAGAGAAAUCGAGUCCGAAUAGGGCGAUAGUCGCUGGGUGUAGACCCGAAACCAAGUGAUCUACUCAUGGCCAGGAUGAAGGUGCGGUAACACGCACUGGAGGUCCGAACCCACUAAUGUUGAAAAAUUAGGGGAUGAGCUGUGGGUAGGGGUGAAAGGCUAAACAAACUUGGAAAUAGCUGGUUCUCUCCGAAAACUAUUUAGGUAGUGCCUCAAGUAUCACCAUCGGGGGUAGAGCACUGUUAUGGCUAGGGGGUCAUCGCGACUUACCAAACCAUUGCAAACUCCGAAUACCGAUGAGUGCGAGCUUGGGAGACAGACGUCGGGUGCUAACGUCCGGCGUCAAGAGGGAAACAACCCAGACCGCCAGCUAAGGUCCCAAAGAUUGGCUAAGUGGAAAACGAAGUGGGAAGGCUAAAACAGUCAGGAUGUUGGCUUAGAAGCAGCCAUCAUUUAAAGAAAGCGUAAUAGCUCACUGAUCGAGUCGUCCUGCGCGGAAGAUGUAACGGGGCUAAGCCAGUCACCGAAGCUGCGGAUAUCCGCAAGGAUAUGGUAGGAGAGCGUUCUGUAAGCCUGCGAAGGUGUCUUGUAAAGGAUGCUGGAGGUAUCAGAAGUGCGAAUGCUGACAUGAGUAGCGAUAAUGGGGGUGAAAAGCCCCCACGCCGUAAGCCCAAGGUUUCCUGUUCAACGUUCAUCGGAGCAGGGUGAGUCGGCCCCUAAGGCGAGGCAGAGAUGCGUAGCUGAUGGGAAGCAGGUUAAUAUUCCUGCACCGUCGUAUGAUGCGAUGGGGGGACGGAUCGCGGAAGGUUGUCUGACUGUUGGAAUAGUCAGUUUCUGGUUCAUAGAAGGCGCUUAGGCAAAUCCGGGCGCGGAAUUCAAGGGAUCGGGACGAGGCACUUAGGUGCUGAAGCAAUCGGAAGUGGUUCCAAGAAAAGCCUCUAAGCUUCAGUCAUACGAGACCGUACCGCAAACCGACACAGGUGGGCGAGAUGAGUAUUCUAAGGCGCUUGAGAGAACUCGGGAGAAGGAACUCGGCAAAUUGGUACCGUAACUUCGGGAAAAGGUACGCCCUUGUAGCUUGGCUGAUUUACUUCAGUAGGGUGAACGGGUUGCAAUAAACUGGUGGCUGCGACUGUUUAAUAAAAACACAGCACUCUGCAAACACGAAAGUGGACGUAUAGGGUGUGACGCCUGCCCGGUGCUGGAAGAUUAAAUGAUGGGGUGCAAGCUCUUGAUUGAAGUCCCAGUAAACGGCGGCCGUAACUAUAACGGUCCUAAGGUAGCGAAAUUCCUUGUCGGGUAAGUUCCGACCUGCACGAAUGGCGUUAACGAUGGCCACACUGUCUCCUCCCGAGACUCAGCGAAGUUGAAGUGUUUGUGAUGAUGCAAUCUACCGCGGCUAGACGGAAAGACCCCAUGAACCUUUACU
rnacentral:rRNA from 1 species